rnacentral:lncRNA from 1 species
ACCUUCCGGAAGUCAGGGCCGCGGCGCUUCUGGUCCCGGAGACUUGGGGCUCCCGGGCUUCUGAGCGGCUCGGGUUCCGCGCUGCCGGCAGGGCUUGGGGGCGCCUUAGAGCCGAACCCCGUUUUUUCAGGAAAGGGCGCUGCGACCACCCCCGUCCCGGGCCUCAGCCCCUCUGCUGCAGACCCUCGGGAUCGUCGCUGGUAGGAGCUCUGUCCCCCGUGUCUGUGUCCAGGACCCCCGAAGCGCCGCGCCUAGGAACCCCCUAGCGCUGGGAGCCCGGCCCUGCUCGACCACGGGCUUUGGGCUGGAGGCGUCAUCGUCGCCACAGCGAACGCUUAUUUGGCACCGAGUGUCCGCCAGGCAUCGCUCUAAGCGCUUUAUACCCAUAACUCACUUCAUCUCAGCCACCCGGUUCCGUAGAAGCGUUUCAUCCGCGUUUUACAGACGUGUGCAGGAAAGAUUCUGAAGCUUGGCGGAGAGGGGUGUGUGAGUGGACACCAGUGAAGUAACGGUUUUUGUGUUACGAUGAUUUCUGUUUUCCUCUGCUGCCCUGUAAUGGCAGGAACUCGGAUAGUCUGGUCUUCAGACCAGGAGGACUCCCAGGAGAGAACGGAGAGCCAGUGUGCUGUGUGUCACGGUCCCUGGAUGAACGUUUGUGGAACUGGAUUGAAUUAAACAAGACGUGCAAAGCAAGUGGUUCACGAGGGUCUUGCUCCGUCGCCCAGUCUGGAGUGCAGUGGCAAGAUCUCUGCUCAGUGCAGCCUUGAACUCUCAGGCUCAAGAAAUCUUCCCGCCUCAGCCUCCCAAAGUGCUGGGAUUACAGGUGUGAGCCACUGUGCCCGGCUAUAGCUAACAUUUUAUUUUUACAACCAAAAAAGAAAUAAAAAGGGAAAAUAAGGAAAAA